AUCCCGUAUCUACUUUAAAUUAUAUAAGUAGCGUAUCUACUGAAAGCAUACAAUUUACUAAUUCACCUAGGUCGGUGACAGACGCAUGUGGCGGAACGCAUGUUGGUUUUAAUCCUCUUCCGAAAUAUGACAAACCCUUGAUUCAAAUUUAAAAUAAUGAACUAUUGACCGCGUUACAAAGGCGAAACGUGAUAUAGAUAUUUUUUGCGCCCUCACCCGUCGCCACCGAUUUUUUUUUUCCUGCGU